rnacentral:lncRNA from 1 species
UAUAAGAAGGUCAAUCAGUCACUGCCGAACAGGCUCAUCUAAAUCUACAUCCAUCGAUUCCAUUUCCUCAACCUCGAAUCUCAUCACCAUCGUCCGACACCUUCACCAGAGUCAUCGCGUAGUUAUUUUGGUUAAAGAAACAAGCCAAAAAUUUACAAGAAAGUACGAGCCACGACCAAGCGUAUAUAGGUGAGAUUAUUGCAGCUUUUGGUGUUCUUUGUGGGUAAUUUCAUCUUUAUUUGACUCGGAAAUUUUUAAGGAACAAUGGCCAGUAGUUUUCAAACCUAAAUGGUUAGAUUUGGGUGGUUUUAAAUUGGUUUUCCUAGGGUUAUGGCCAAUACUGCGAAUUUUUGAAAUUUUUUGAGUACUGAUGUUAAUUUGGAGAUGAAUUGAUGAUGAUUCCAUUCCAUUGAUGCUCGAAAAAUUGUGAGAGAACUAAGCCCAAUAAUUUUUGAAUUCAAACAAUGGGAUUUAGGGGUGUUAAAGGUAAUUUUUGCCAUAUUCUUCCCACUAUCUGGACAUAGUGAUUGAUACAUUUAAUUUUUUGCUGAAGUUUGAAUUUAUUUUGUUGUUAUUAAUGGUUGAUUUUGGUUUGAAAUUGAUGGUGGAUAAAUCCCCAUAAAUUUUGUUAUUCACUUGGAUUGAUAUAGAUGGUUAUAAGUUGGGGCUUUUGAGCAGAGCACGAAAAACGGAUUUUUUUACGAAUUUCUCAUACUUUUGACUAAUUAAUUGGUCUGAUGCAGGUUUAUUUGUGUUUAUAAUGGUUGAUUGAGUUUUACCUGAAAUGGUUUUGUUCAUGUUUUGGAUUUAGAAUGAAGAAAGGAUGAAGAUGAAUAUGUUUGGUGAUGGUGAUCGGGAGCCUUUAAUGAAGCUGUUGGAGAAUAAUAGAAUAUGAAUUAAUGAUAACUUUGUUUUCUUUCAAGAAUUUGCCCUUUUCAUUUAUUAAAAUAGUGAAAUCUCAUUUUAUAACAUGUUUUCUUUUACAAAUAAGCAUCAAUUUUCCAUGUAUGCAGGGCCACAUCAUCAAUUUUUGAGAUGGCAUUUUAAUCGAACGUAAUUGGAAAAAAUUGAAAAGACGAUCACCUAAGUGAAAAAUGGUGUAUAGUUUAGGAUAGUACUUUAUAUUUAAGCAUUCUUUUAAUUUCUUUUGUUGUGUAUUUAAGUUAAUAUAUGAUUGUUUUAUGUUAUAACCAUGACGUAUAAAAAGUUUGCGUUAAGGAGAUUUUCAAAGAAAGGAACUGGUUAUAUGAGGAGAUGGUAUUGUCAAAUUCCAAAGAAGAUGGUAAUGGAGGAAGUACAAUGUAAUGUAAGAAACACAGAGGGGCACAACAUUGAACAACCAUGUAGACAAGCACUAGCAUUUGAAGUAAUAUUGACGCAGGACAAGCCCAACGGACCCG